CCCCCCGCCCCUGGGAGAUCAGGGAGAUUUUGCAAAAUUUGGAGGCGAGCAAAGGGGUGGGCUCGGAGGAGGGGGUGGCUGCCUUUGAAAGCCGGCUCCUUGGAAAGGGGGAGCAGGAUAUUUUUGAGUGGGUUGGGGUUUUAUUAUUAUCAAUUAUUAUUAUUAUUAUCCCCUCCCCCCCAGUUCUGAAGUUUGCGCCUGGGGCGGGAAGGGGGCUAUUGACGGGGCCGAGGAUCGGCCCGGGGAAGCGGGGGGCUGUUUAAAGGGGGGCUGAGAAAGAGCGGGAUCCGAGCCCGGGUGGCUGGCAAGCUGCGCUUUGACUGUAAAAAGCCCACCGGGCCAGCCCGCUUUCUGUCCCCUCUGGAAGGGGGAGAGCGGGAGCUCUUUGCCCCGAGCUGUCCGGCAGCUCCCCGCCUGGGUCCCUCCGCUCGCUGCGCCUUCGCUCGCUCAGGCUGCGCAGGGAACCGACAAACCCCGGGCAGCAGGCCGCGGUUCCCCGGGGAGGGGGAUUUAAACUGUGCAGUGGCCCGCAGGCUACAUUGCUCCUCGGGCCCGCUAGGAAGCGCUUCAGGGCUGUGAAGGGAGGGAGCUGCGCAGGGCCGAUCCAGGCGAGUGGGUGACUUACACUUUUCUCCAGGCUCUGCACAUUUGCACAAGUCCCGCUACUGCCGCCGGAUCAUUUCCCCCUCCCUGCCCAGCAUUGCAUACUCAGGGUCUGCUUUGCUGCUGCUUACAGCCGGGCUCUGGGUGUGGAUGGCAGCAUCACAGAAGAUCAGGGCUGGGAGGGACCUCAGGAGGUCAUCUAGUCCAAGCCCCUGCUCAAAGCAGGACCGAUCCCCAAAUUUUGCCCCAGAUCCCUAAAUGGCCCCCUCAAGGAUUGAACUCACAACCCUGGGUUUAGCAGGCCAAUGCUCAAACCACUGAGCUAUCCCUCUCCCUCGAAGCAGGGCCAACACCCACUGUCUUUGCUGGGUCAUCACCAUGCCGCUGGGAGGUAAUGCAAGCCUAUUAGCCCCACAUCACAGAUGAGGAACAGUUCCACAAAAGUAUUUAGGCUCCUAAAUCCCUUUGAAAUCCAUGGGAGCCCAAGUACCUUUGAAAAUCUGGGCUUAAGUGACUUCCCCCAGGUUACACAGGAAGCUUCAGGCAGAGCAGAAAGUUGAACCUGGCUCUCUGUAGUCUCCAGCUAACACCAGGACUAACCUUCCUGUCCUGUGCAUUUGUGGUCUGGGUCCAACUUGACAGUCUAUGCUGGGGUGACUGUGUCUGUCAGCGUGUGCGGUUCUGAUUCGUUCCACUGAGGGGAUUUACCCCUCUGGUGUAAAUGAGGAAACAAUGAGGCUCUGAGUGUGUUUGUACAUGUAUGCGCACCACCAAGGAAGGUGCUGCAAGACGAAAAGCAAUUCUUUCCAUUUUAUUGUUCUGAACAGACCUCUGGGAUUUGUACUAAGUGCAGAAUUUCUUUGGCAUUUAAGCAUAAAAACCCUCCCAACCAAACAACAGGAAUAAAGGGGAAGAUCCUCAGCUGGUGUAAAUUACUAAGGAUCUGGCCCAAAUAUGUCUCACAUCAAUAGGCCUCCUGACCUGCUUUCCUAUUCUUGGGCCGACAUUCACACAAGCUUUGGAAAAUAAAACAAUCGCUCGUCCUCCAGUUUCUUCCUUGCCCUUGGAUGGUGGUUUCUUUUUUCACAGAAACGAAGGUUCCAUCUUAGAAAAAGUAUUUUCUGCUGCUCCUCUGCCGAUGUCACUGUGAUGGCGUGUGGAUUGUACCCACAUCUCCCCUGCAUACUGCUUAAUGCAGCCCCAGGCUUUAUUGAUCUGUGGGGGAAAUCACUAGUAGCCACUGGCCUGACAUAAACAAGCUUGUCAAUUGCAUUGUAAACCAGAAGUGUUGCAAGACUUGUUCCCAGAAACGGAGUCAAAUAACAAAACCUCAAUGAGCUAAGUGGGAGAGUUGGACUAUUUUGCUUUGUUUUCACUUGGCUAUUGGUAGUUGUGGCUUAUGUGCAAAGCCAGGGCCAGAAUACACAGGGUGGGCCUUGGCUUUGCCAAAAUUUGCCACCACGAACAAACAGGAAAGUAGCUGAGCCUUGUAACUGUAUUCUUAAGUCUUGCAUAUAAAUUCAGGGAGUCCUGAGGAGUUGGUGUUUUCGUAUAGAAAAUGAGAGUGUUCAUAAUGGGAGAGAGCGGGGAAGAACCCUUGUAUUUAGGGCCCGAUCUUGUUCACAAAUGUCCCGUUGACUUCAAUGGCCGCUGGACCGAGCCCCGGUUGAGGAUAUUGUGUAGACCUGUUUCGUUACCGCAUGUUGCACAUAAAACCUACAACAGAGGGAAAUUUGCCCAUGCCCACUUCCAGAUCAAAUUGACGCCAUUCGCAAAUCUAAAAAGGGUAUUUUCCUAAUUGCUGUGCUUUCGUCUGCCUCUCUCGUGAACGCCAGCCAGAAACAUUCAGCGGGAGGACCUGAGAGGAAAUUUCAAGCAUCAUGAACAUUUUUCGUCAUUUUUCAUUGGAAAUAUGUUUUGCCAAAAAAAAAAAAAGAAAAGAGGAUCAACCAGCUGUUCUCUGCCGUGAUUGCUUCAUCUCCAGCCAGGUGCCCCUGACCUGGGGUAGGGCUGUGCUCACCGGAUCACAAACACCCUUAAAGGGGAGCUUGACUCAUUCAGUAGCCACCUCUGAGCAUAAAGCAGGACAAAAAGCUGCAGGGCCAGGAAUGGAGGGAAGCAAACACCUAAGCUGCGGAAGCCCUGUGCCAGACCGUCCUGCUGAGACUUCCGCUCUGGCCACCUCAAACCUUCAUCCAGCCCUAAAUUGACAGCUGGGGAGAGAAAAAGCAGAGAAUCGGUGCCAGGAGAUCAACAGGCAAAGCGGGACCUGGGAGAAGCUAUGGUGGCCUUCCGGACUCCAGGAAUGUUCCAUGCAAACCGAGAUCCUCAUCAGAGAGCGGCUCCUCUAGAACGAAGCACCCUGAAAGACACGGAAGCAAAAUCCCUGGGUGAAAUCCACACCCCGCUUAAACAGCUGUUGGCAAACAACAGUCAGGCUAGCCAUCCCAUCAGCCGCAAACCUGCAGCUCGAGUGCUAGCAACAGACAGCCCUGGUGACCAAGGCAGCAGCUGCAGCCAGCAGCUUCCCAUCCAAGGGGAGUGGAGGGCACUGGGGCAUUGCCUACAGACACUGAGGAACCUUGCCACAGUUGAGGAGGUUUCGAAAAGCAGAAGUGGAAAAAGGAGACCGUGAAAGACUUCCGACUCCUUUGCCAUUAUUCAUGGCAUUGCAGCCGCUGGAGAAAUGGGGCUGGGAGUAGGAGAAAGGAAGAAAGGGGUAAGAAAACCCAACACCCCAACAUUCCAAAGCUCAACACUGAAAAUUAUUGGUUUUGACAAUGAAACCAAAAGCUGCCUCCCCCAUUUAAGUUGCUGGUUUAGAAAGGAUGCCAUUUCCCCCUCCAGUUUGAGUGAAAAACUAUCACCCCACUCUGGAGACGGACAUGACACCUGGCACAGGGAGGGUGCUAGCUUCCAUUCAGCUUGGGGGGGAGUAGCAGGUGAAAGGGUGGGUUUCCUGAGAGAGAGCAUGGCCUAGUUUUUAAGGCAGUGAGACUCGAGAGAUGUGGGUUCAAGCCCUGGCUCUGCCACAGACUUCCUGUCUGACCUUGGGCAAGUCAUUUAGGCCCAGAUCCUCACUGGGAUGUAAACACAGGCACAAUACUUUGUUUAAAUUGUAAUCUCUUUCGACAGGGACUAUGUAUCUGAACAGCGAGGAACCAAACAGGCCUGCAAUCUUGCUUAGGGCGUCUAGGUGCUACUCAACAAUUGGUGCUACUCUAGUAUCAAUAAGAACCCAUUGGCUGUUCAGUGUCUGUCUCGUCUCAAUCCAGUGCCUAGUACAUAUAUUUCAAGUGUAUUAAUAUAGUGGCUUAGGCUAUGGGCCUCCCGGGUGUUUAGCUGCCUGAUUUCAGUGGGAGUUAGGCACCUAGAUCUCUCUGGACCUGGACCUUAGCCUUAGGCCAUAGUGUUCAACACAAUAAAGGGUAUGUCUGUGCUGCAAAAAAAAAAAGAUACACCCCACAGCAGUGAGUCUCAGAGCCUGGGUCUAUGGACUCAGGCUUGCCAGGCUUCUGCUACAGCACUACAGAUAGACAUGUAACCCCUCUGCCAGGUGGAGCCAGCAGCAACCAGGGCCAGGUUCAAUAUCUAGGGGUUCCUUCCCAUUGACACAACACAGCACUGGCUCAAGCCCCCACCCAGUGACCUGGGAAAAUUUACACACCACCCCUGGGCGCCUCCGAGAGGCAAUACUGCCCCACUCGCAAGCACAGAGUCUGAGUGUAGAAAAGAAACUUUUAAUAAAAGGAGGUAAGUAACUCGGUGUUAAUUUGGGAAAACACCACAAACAGGGUUCAUAAACACAAACCAUGAGCAAAAGACCCACCCCCAAGUAGGUUGGGCGGCACCCUUUUCCCUUUCGGUUCUUAAGUCCAGCAACCCAAAAGUCCCUUUCACAUGCCCGACUCUUGUCUGCACCCCACUCACAGUUGCUGCCCUUGGUCAGUGCAGGCCCAGAGUCUAGAGGUGAUCUGCAGAGUUCACCUCCCACCCUGGGGGGGGAGGGGUUACAGAGGCACCUUACUUGCUCCGCUGGCCACUUACAGGCCACCUGCUCACUACUCCCACCGUGCCCCUCCACCAGCCACCCAGCUGGCUGCUUAUCACACCUCUCUGUGCUGCCCUUCUGGCCACUCAUUUGCCAGCUGACUGUCAGUCACCAUCUGCCAGGACCUCUGCACAUCCAUCUCUCAGUGAUUUGAGCUCUUAGCAGGCAGGGCAGAAACACAGUCAACAAAUCGCAUAAAAAAGCAAAAAAGAGCCUACAGACACUUUGACAAUAGACGUCACUUAGAGAACUGCCGGAUCUAGAACCUGGUGACUGUGUUUAUAUCAAAUUGGAUGAAGAAAAAGGGUGGACAACUCCAGCUCUUUCUCCAGAAACAGAAUUCAAAGAUCUAGAGUGACAGUGGAGGGUUCAACAGAAGCCAUCAACAUCUGAAAUUUGUUCCUCAGAAAGAACUAACAGAGCAAAUUCUACCAGUGGUGGCUGCAGAACAAGGUGGCGGUGACUCAGAGAUUCCAAACCAACCAUAGCCGGUCAUUGCAACUUAUGGACAGCCAGCUGACCAUGUCGUUGUGCGUUCAGGUGGUGUAAUUAGAAAAGCAGUAUGAUUCAGAGACACUUAGACUGAUAUGUACUGAACUUCAAAGAUCGCGUGAUAGUGUAUAUUUGUAAAUGAAAUGGUAGGAAUGUAGAACUUGGGGGAGGGAUAGCUAAGUGGUUUGAGCAUUGGCCUGCUUAAACCCAGGGUUGUGAGUUCAAUCCUUGAGGAGGCCAUUUAGGGAUCGGGGGCAAAAACUGGGGAUUGGUCCUGCUUUGAGCAGGAGGUUGGACUAGAUGACCUCCUGAGGUCCCUUCCAACCCUGAUAUUCUAUGAAUAAACUUAAAAGGGAGGAUGUAAUGGAAUAUUAAACUCUAUUAUGCCGUUCAGCCA